rnacentral:pre_miRNA from 1 species
UGCUUGUACUUAUUCUGGUGACAUGAGGUAUCUGUGACUAGGGUAGUAUGAGUAGA